rnacentral:rRNA from 1 species
UGCGUAGGCGGAUAUGCAAGCCAGACGUGAAAUCCCGGAGCUUAACUCCGGAACGGCGUUUGGAACUGCAUAUCUUGAGGAUAGGCGGAGAAAACGGAAUUCCACAUGUAGCGGUGAAAUGCGUAGAUAUGUGGAGGAACACCCGUGGCGAAGGCGGUUUUCUAGCUUAUUCCUGACGCUGAGGCACGAAAGCAAGGGGAGCAAACAGGAUUAGAUACCCUGGUAGUC